GCCGGAUUUAGCCCAAACAUAACCUCAACUAACUAUUCUAUAAAACAAAACAUUUACCCCUUGAAGAGUAUAGGAGAUAGAAAUUCUAACCUGGCGCUAUAGAGAAAGUACCGUAAGGGAACAAUGAAAGAAUACCCCUAAAGCAAUAAACAGCAAAGAUUACCCCUUCUACCUUUUGCAUAAUGAUUUAACCAGAAAUAAUCUAGCAAAGAGAACUUAAGUUAGCCACCCCGAAACCAGACGAGCUAUCCACGAGCAGCCCCAACAGAGCAAACUCAUCUAUGUGGCAAAAUAGUGAAAAGACUUAUGGAUAGAGGUGACAAGCCUAUCGAGCCUGGUGAUAGCUGGUUGUCCAGAAAAGAAUCUUAGUUCAGACCUAAGCCUACCUAAAAACCCUAUAAUUUUACUGUAAGCUUAAGUAAUAGUCUAAAAGGGGACAGCCUUUUAGACACAGGAUACAACCUUGACUAGUGAGUAAACAGCAAGAUACACCACAGUAGGCCUAAGAGCAGCCAUCAGUAAAGAAAGCGUUCAAGCUCAACAAUAUUACACCAUUUUAAUCCCAGAGAUUACUAUUAGCUCCUAGCAUAAAACUGGACCACUCUAUAAUAAUAUAGAAGAAAUAAUGUUAAUAUGAGUAACAAGAAACAUUUUCUCCCCGCACAAGUGUAUWUCAGAACGGAUGCCCACUGAUAGUUAACACAACUAAAGAAAAUCUCAUAACAGGAUCUUUACACACCAAAUGUUAACCCGACACAGGAGUGCACUCAA
rnacentral:rRNA from 1 species